AGUGAACGCUGGCGGUAGGCCUAACACAUGCAAGUCGAACGGCAGCACAGUAAGAGCUUGCUCUUACGGGUGGCGAGUGGCGGACGGGUGAGGAAUACAUCGGAAUCUACUUUUUCGUGGGGGAUAACGUAGGGAAACUUACGCUAAUACCGCAUACGACCUACGGGUGAAAGCAGGGGAUCUUAGGACCUUGCGCGAUUGAAUGAGCCGAUGUCGGAUUAGCUAGUUGGCGGGGUAAAGGCCACCAAGGCGACGAUCCGUAGCUGGUCUGAGAGGAUGAUCAGCCACACUGGAACUGAGACACGGUCCAGACUCCUACGGGAGGCAGCAGUGGGGAAUAUUGGACAAUGGGCGCAAGCCUGAUCCAGCCAUACCGCGUGGGUGAAGAAGGCCUUCGGGUUGUAAAGCCCUUUUGUUGGGAAAGAAAAGCAGCAGGUUAAUACCCCGCUGUUCUGACGGUACCCAAAGAAUAAGCACCGGCUAACUUCGUG
rnacentral:rRNA from 1 species